rnacentral:misc_RNA from 1 species
GAUGAAGAACGUAGCGAAAUGCGAUACGUAAUGUGAAUUGCAGAAUUCAGUGAAUCAUCGAAUCUUUGAACGCACCUUGCGCCCUUUGGCCAUUCCGAAGGGCAUGCCUGUUUGAGUAUCAUGAACACCUCAACUCUCAUGGCUCGCCAUGAUGAGCUUGGACUUUGGGGGUCUUGCUGGCCUGUGGUCGGCUCCUCUCAAAUGGAUCAGCUUGCCAGUGUUUGGUGGCAUCACAGGUGUGAUAACUAUCUGCGCUUGUGGUUUUCCAUCAGAUAACCUUCAGUGAUGGAGGUUCGCUGGAGCUCAUAAACGUCUCCCCUAAGCGGGGACAGCCCUUUGAAUGUUUGAUCUCAAAUCAGGUAGGACUACCCGCUGAACUUAAGCAUAUCAAUAAGCGGAGGA